UACAGAGGUCUCAAGCGUUGUUCGGAUUCAUUGGGCGUAAAGGGUGCGUAGGUGGCGGGGUAAGUCAGGUGUGGAAAUUUCGGAGCUUAACUCCGAAACUGCAUUUGAUACUGCCUUGCUUGAGGACUGGAGAGGAGACUGGAAUUCACGGUGUAGCAGUGAAAUGCGUGAGAGAUCGGUGAGGAAGACCAGUGGCGAAGGCGGGUCUCUGGACAGUUCCC
rnacentral:rRNA from 1 species